rnacentral:rRNA from 1 species
GACGAACGCUGGCGGCGUGCCUAAUACAUGCAAGUCGAACGAACCGCGACUAAGUGCUUGCACUAAGUCAAGGUGAGUGGCGAACGGGUGAGUAACACGUGGGUAACCUACCUCAUAGUGGGGGAUAACAGUCGGAAACGGCUGCUAAUACCGCAUAGGACAUAGGAUCACAUGAUCCAGUGAGGAAAGGUGGCGCAAGCUAUCGCUAAGAGAUGGACCCGCGGUGCAUUAGCUAGUUGGUAGGGUAAAGGCCUACCAAGGCGAUGAUGCAUAGCCGACCUGAGAGGGUGAUCGGCCACAUUGGGACUGAGACACGGCCCAAACUCCUACGGGAGGCAGCAGUAGGGAAUCUUCCGCAAUGGACGCAAGUCUGACGGAGCAACGCCGCGUGAGUGAAGAAGGUCUUCGGAUCGUAAAGCUCUGUUGUUAGAGAAGAACAGCGCAUAGAGUAACUGCUAUGCGUGUGACAGUAUCUAACCAGAAAGCCACGGCUAACUACGUG